AAGCCCCCUUAGCUCUGCCAGGCACUGGACAGGGGUUAGUAAAUGUGUAGAGCCAAGUGUAGUGUGGUGUAGUAGUAGGCGCUUCUAGGCCCCUUCCUGGCUACUGGAUUACUCCAGUGCUUCGAGUACUACGGACCCUCUGCCAUCCAUUGUAGCGGAGCCGUUUCAUGAGCAGGGGGGCUAAGCACAUUUCUUUGAAUCAAAC
rnacentral:lncRNA from 1 species